rnacentral:sRNA from 12 species
CAAGGCUUGGAAUCAUGAUGCUGUGGGCCUUGCCAGCGUCAAGCGGGUGAUCAAGGGGAUCUCCACACACCCGCCGGUAUAGCCGCGUCACUACUAAAGUAGGCCGCCAAGAGAAGCCCGCAUUGCUCUUGGUGCUCCGAAUUUUAUAUGUAGUGCGUGCCGCACGCCGUGGAGGGGUGGGUCGUGUUGGACGGCCUAGAAGGUGCGGAACGCCG